AGGCGACGACGGGUAGCCGGCCUGAGAGGGUGAUCGGCCCAUUGGGACUGAGAUACGGCCCAGACUCCUACGGGAGGCAGCAGUGGGGAAUAUUGCACAAUGGGCGGAAGCCUGAUGCAGCGACGCCGCGUGAGGGAUGACGGCCUUCGGGUUGUAAACCUCUUUCAGCAGGGACGAAGCGUAAGUGACGGUACCUGCAGAAGAAGCACCGGCUAACUAUGUGCCAGCAGCCGCGGUAAUACGUAGGGUGCGAGCGUUGUCCGGAAUUACUGGGCGUAAAGAGCUCGUAGGCGGUUUGUCACGUCGUCUGUGAAAUCCUAGGGCUUAACCCUGGACGUGCAGGCGAUACGGGCUGACUUGAGUACUACAGGGGAGACUGGAAUUUCUGGUGUAGCGGUGGAAUGCACAGAUAUCAGGAAGAACACCGAUGGCGAAGGCAGGUCUCUGGGUAGUAACUGACGCUGAGGAGCGAAAGCAUGGGUAGCGAACAGGAUUAGAUACCCUGGUAGUCCAUGCCGUAAACGGUGGGCGCUAGGUGUGGGGUUCCUUCCACGGGCUCCGCGCCGUAGCUAACGCAUUAAGCGCCCCGCCUGGGGAGUACGGCCGCAAGGCUAAAACUCAAAGAAAUUGACGGGGGCCCGCACAAGCGGCGGAGCAUGUGGAUUAAUUCGAUGCAACGCGAAGAACCUUACCUGGGCUUGACAUAUAGAGGAUCGCUACAGAGAUGUGGUUUCCCUUGUGGCUUCUAUACAGGUGGUGCAUGGUUGUCGUCAGCUCGUGUCGUGAGAUGUUGGGUUAAGUCCCGCAACGAGCGCACCCUUGUCUUAUGUUGCCAGCACGUUAUGGUGGGGACUCGUGAGAGACUGCCGGGGUCACUCGGAGGAAGUGGGGAUGACGUCAAUCAUCAUGCCCCUUAUGUCAGGGCUUCACACAUGCUACAAUGGCCGGUACAGAGGCUGCGAUGCCGUGAGGCGGAGCGAA
rnacentral:rRNA from 1 species